UACGUAGGGGCAAGCGUUGUCCGGAUUUAUUGGGCGUAAAGAGCGUGUAGGCGGCCAGACAGGUCCGUUGUGAAAACUCGAGGCUCAACCUCGAGACGCCGAUGGAAACCGUCUGGCUAGAGUCCGGAAGAGGAGAGUGGAAUUCCUGGUGUAGCGGUGAAAUGCGCAGAUAUCAGGAAGAACACCCGUGGCUAAGGCGGCUCUCUAGUACGGUACUGACGCUGAGACGCGAAAGCGUGGGGGA
rnacentral:rRNA from 1 species